rnacentral:ncRNA from 2 species
AAAACGCUUCGGGGAGCUGGAAUUGGCCGGCUGAGAGUGUAUUCCUUAUAAUACUGACCCAUAACCUGAUCUGGAUAAUGCCAGCGUAGGGAAGUAAGCUUCUGAUAUCUU